rnacentral:rRNA from 1 species
GAUGAACGCUGGCGGCGUGCCUAAUACAUGCAAGUCGAGCGAACGGACGAGAAGCUUGCUUCUCUGAUGUUAGCGGCGGACGGGUGAGUAACACGUGGAUAACCUACCUAUAAGACUGGGAUAACUUCGGGAAACCGUAGCUAAUACCGGAUAAUAUUUUGAACCGCAUGGUUCAAAAGUGAAAGACGGUCUUGCUGUCAUUUAUAGAUGGAUCCGCGCUGCAUUAGCUAGUUGGUAAGGUAACGGCUUACCAAGGCAACGAUGCAUAGCCGACCUGAGAGGGUGAUCGGCCACACUGGAACUGAGACACGGUCCAGACUCCUACGGGAGGCAGCAGUAGGGAAUCUUCCGCAAUGGGCGAAAGCCUGACGGAGCAACGACGCGUGAGUGAUGAAGGUCUUCGGAUCGUAAAACUCUGUUAUUAGGGAAGAACAUAUGUGUAAGUAACUGUGCACAUCUUGACGGUACCUAAUCAGAAAGCCACGGCUAACUACGUG